UACGUAGGGGGCGAGCGUUGUCCGGAUUUACUGGGCGUAAAGUGCGCGUAGGCGGUCGUGCGCGUCGGUUGUGAAAUCUGGUGGCUCAACCAUCGGGGGUCAGCCGAAACGGUGCGACUGGAGGACGGUAGAGGCAGGUGGAAUUCCCGGUGUAGUGGUGAAAUGCGUAGAGAUCGGGAGGAACACCAGUGGCGAAGGCGGCCUGCUGGGCCGUUCCUGACGCUGAGGCGCGAAAGCGUGGGGAGCGAACUGGAUUAGAUACCCCAGUAGUCC
rnacentral:rRNA from 1 species